UGGCUCUCGCAUCGAUGAAGAACGCAGCGAAAUGCGAUAAGUAAUGUGAAUUGCAGAAUUCAGUGAAUCAUCGAAUCUUUGAACGCACCUUGCGCCCUUUGGUAUUCCGAAGGGCAUGCCUGUUUGAGUGUCAUUAAAUUAUCAACGCGAUAGCUUUUUUUGUUUUUGUUAUCUGCGCUUGGACUUUGGAGCGUGCGGGUCUCUUCUUCUGCGGAGAUCUGCUCCUCUUGAAAUGCAUUAGCAGUUUGCCCCAUUCGCAGAUCUGCUCCGGCGUGAUAAUUUAUCUACGUCGCAGCGGCGAAGCGGCCCCCCCCCCAAUCCGGUGCAGCUGCUCCUAACCGGUCGCGCCCCUUUUGCGACAGCGCCCCUAUGACAAUUUGACCUCAAAUCAGGUAGGACUACCCGCUGA
rnacentral:misc_RNA from 1 species